CUCAGAAUGGUCUCCAGGCUUCUAUAAUUAGGCCUUGCCUGCCGCCAGGCCAACAGAUUCUCUAGCUUGGCUGAGAUAACCAAGUCUGGCACUGAACAGAGCCCUUUGUCGACUCUUUGGCUCUUGCAAUAUCCAGAGGAAAGGCGUCCUCACUGAUCUUCCACUGGGGAAGCCGAGACCCCAGGAGGGUCAGUCUCUGUUGGAGUCAGUCAGGUCGAGGAGUCACCAGAUGUGACAGGAAAAGAGGCUUGUGCAGAGAGCUGGGGCCAUUCUUCUGACAUCUUCAGUUCCUCCUUCCCUUCCUCCAUCUUGCUGCCCGCAUGCCCCUCCUUCAAGAAUGCUUUUCAUGGUUGUCAGCCUACUCCACAGUGCUAGUGGGCCUGGUAGCUUACCCGGCACCCCAGCCAUGGAAGAUGGAGACAGAACCCAGCAGAACAGACUGGACAGGAAGACAUGUCAGCAGCUCUGGGUUGGACUGAGACUCCGCCUCAAAGAAUAAGGCAGAAGAGUGUCAGGAUGAUUCCAGACAGCAACCUCAAGGCUCUACAUGCAUGAACACACAAGCUCUGCCAGAAUGUAUGCAUACCAUGUACACAUGCGGGCCCCCAUGCAAGCAUGCAUACCCACAAGCACACAUGCCACACACAUGAAACAAAAAACAAAAAUAAAGCGUUUGGAUG
rnacentral:lncRNA from 1 species